UGACGCGGCGGCAUGCCUUACACUGCAAGUCGAACGGCAGCGGGGGAGAAGCUUGCUUCUCCCGCCGGCGAGUGGCGAACGGGUGAGUAAUACAUCGGAACGUGCCCUGUAGUGGGGGAUAACUAGUCGAAAGAUUAGCUAAUACCGCAUACGACCUGAGGGUGAAAGUGGGGGACCGCAAGGCCUCAUGCUAUAGGAGCGGCCGAUGUCUGAUUAGCUAGUUGGUGGGGUAAAGGCCCACCAAGGCGACGAUCAGUAGCUGGUCUGAGAGGACGAUCAGCCACACUGGGACUGAGACACGGCCCAGACUCCUACGGGAGGCAGCAGUGGGGAAUUUUGGACAAUGGGCGAAAGCCUGAUCCAGCAAUGCCGCGUGUGUGAAGAAGGCCUUCGGGUUGUAAAGCACUUUUGUCCGGAAAGAAAUGGCUCUGGUUAAUACCUGGGGUCGAUGACGGUACCGGAAGAAUAAGGACCGGCUAACUACGUGCCAGCAGCCGCGGUAAUACGUAGGGUCCAAGCGUUAAUCGGAAUUACUGGGCGUAAAGCGUGCGCAGGCGGUUGUGCAAGACCGAUGUGAAAUCCCCGAGCUUAACUUGGGAAUUGCAUUGGUGACUGCACGGCUAGAGUGUGUCAGAGGGGGGUAGAAUUCCACGUGUAGCAGUGAAAUGCGUAGAGAUGUGGAGGAAUACCGAUGGCGAAGGCAGCCCCCUGGGAUAACACUGACGCUCAUGCACGAAAGCGUGGGGAGCAAACAGGAUUAGAUACCCUGGUAGUCCACGCCCUAAACGAUGUCAACUAGUUGUUGGGGAUUCAUUUCCUUAGUAACGUAGCUAACGCGUGAAGUUGACCGCCUGGGGAGUACGGUCGCAAGAUUAAAACUCAAAGGAAUUGACGGGGACCCGCACAAGCGGUGGAUGAUGUGGAUUAAUUCGAUGCAACGCGAAAAACCUUACCUACCCUUGACAUGCCACUAACGAAGCAGAGAUGCAUUAGGUGCUCGAAAGAGAAAGUGGACACAGGUG
rnacentral:rRNA from 1 species